GCGAUUUCCCAUUGCCAGUUCCAUGACUAAGGGCUACAACUUGAAAAGAGGAGGGACGACUUCUGGGCCAAAGAUUGCGUUGCAAGCCGUUGAGUCCUGGGGCUUAAUGAGGUGUCGGAUAGCAAGAGACGUGCCUACUUUGGAGACCUGUUUCUACGGAGGGCCAUCACUCCCGCAGGAAACCUUCUGGAGAUGAUCCUUCUGGUUUAGAGCCUAUGUGAUAAAGCAACUCUCUGAUGGAGAGUUGGAAACCAGCCUGCUUCUGGGGUCAGUCCAGCCUGCGUCAAGGACGUGGACUUGGGCUGGCGGCUCUAACUGAAGCC